UGCAAGUCGAGCGGCAGCGCGGGGCAACCUGGCGGCGAGCGGCGAACGGGUGAGUAAUAUAUCGGAACGUGUCCUGUAAUGGGGGAUAGCCCGGCGAAAGCCGGAUUAAUACCGCAUACGAUCUACGGAUGAAAGUGGGGGACCGCAAGGCCUCACGUUAUAGGAGCGGCCGAUAUUCGAUUAGCUUGUUGGUGAGGUAAAGGCUCACCAAGGCUACGAUCGAUAGCUGGCCUGAGAGGAUGAUCAGCCACACUGGGACUGAGACACGGCCCAGACUCCUACGGGAGGCAGCAGUGGGGAAUUUUGGACAAUGGGGGCAACCCUGAUCCAGCCAUUCCGCGUGAGUGAAGAAGGCCUUCGGGUUGUAAAGCUCUUUUGGCAGGGAAGAAACGGUUGUGGUGAAUAGCCACGACUACUGACGGUACCUGCAGAAUAAGCACCGGCUAACUACGUGCCAGCAGCCGCGGUAAUACGUAGGGUGCGAGCGUUAAUCGGAAUUACUGGGCGUAAAGCGUGCGCAGGCGGUUUUAUAAGCCAGAUGUGAAAUCCCCGGGCUUAACCUGGGAAUGGCAUUUGGGACUGUAAGGCUAGAAUCUGGCAGAGGGGGGUAGAAUUCCACGUGUAGCAGUGAAAUGCGUAGAGAUGUGGAGGAAUACCGAUGGCGAAGGCAGCCCCCUGGGCUAAGAUUGACGCUCAUGCACGAAAGCGUGGGGAGCAAAC
rnacentral:rRNA from 1 species